UACGUAGGGGGCAAGCGUUAUCCGGAUUUACUGGGUGUAAAGGGAGCGUAGACGGCAGUGCAAGUCUGGAGUGAAAGGCGGGGGCUCAACCCCCGGACUGCUCUGGAAACUGUACGGCUGGAGUGCAGGAGAGGUAAGUGGAAUUCCUAGUGUAGCGGUGAAAUGCGUAGAUAUUAGGAGGAACACCAGUGGCGAAGGCGGCUUACUGGACUGUAACUGACGUUGAGGCUCGAAAGCGUGGUGAGCAAACAGG
rnacentral:rRNA from 1 species